rnacentral:tRNA from 1 species
GCGCCCGUAGCUCAGCAGGACAGAGCGGGGGCUUCCUAAGCCCUAGGUCGGGGGUUCGAAUCCCUCCGGGCGCGCCA